rnacentral:rRNA from 1 species
UACGGGGGGGAGCAAGCGUUGUUCGGAUUUACUGGGCGUAAAGGGCGCGUAGGCGGCCACCGCAAGUCGACUGUGAAAAUCUCCGGGCUUAACCCGGAAAGGUCAGCCGAUACUGCGGGGCUAGAGUGCAGAAGGGGCAACUGGAAUUCUCGGUGUAGCGGUGAAAUGCGUAGAUAUCGAGAGGAACACCUGCGGCGAAGGCGGGUUGCUGGGCUGACACUGACGCUGAGGCGCGAAAGCUAGGGGAGCGAACGGG